GGGUUGUGAGGUUAAGCGACUAAGCGUACACGGUGGAUGCCCUGGCAGUCAGAGGCGAUGAAGGGCGUGCUAAUCUGCGAUAAGCGCCGGUAAGGUGAUAUGAACCGUUAUAACCGGCGAUACCCGAAUGGGGAAACCCAGUGUGACUCGUCACACUAUCAUUAACUGAAUCCAUAGGUUAAUGAGGCGAACCGGGGGAACUGAAACAUCUAAGUACCCCGAGGAAAAGAAAUCAACCGAGAUUCCCCCAGUAGCGGCGAGCGAACGGGGAGGAGCCCAGAGCCUGAAUCAGCAUGUGUGUUAGUGGAAGCG
rnacentral:rRNA from 2 species